UGCCCGGUACCGAGCAGGGCGGGCCAGUGCCUGCCCCUCGGGGCGGCUCGCUGUAUUUGCAGAGCGCCGAGCACCGCGUCAGCAAAUCCCGCUCCGCACCGUGCGCCUGGCAGGGGCGGACGGCGGCUCCGCCGGGCGCGGCCGUUCCGCGGCGAGCGGAGGCGAGCGCGCCCCUGCGCGCCCCGCGACCGCCGCCCCUCGGCCCCUCCGGCCGCGCGGGGCUGCGCGGGGGCUGGUGCGGCUGAUGCCGCCGCGCCGGGCGGCCGGCGCGGAGGAGCGGGGCGGGCGCCCUCCGCUGGCAGCCGCGCAGAUUUCAGCCGCGGCCCGACGCCGCCCCGGGGCUUCCCACACUGCAGAUAUAACAAACCUCAAAGAACAAUGAAAAUCAUCACAGCUGAAGUUCAUUCUUCAGAAGUAUCCUGGAAGAUAAGGGAGGGACAUGAGUGUCAGAGAAACAACGUGAGAAAACAUAAAAACCAGAGAUAAGUUUCUUGUUGAGAUUCUUCCACUAUUAGAAGCAAGCCAUCAUGAAGGAAAGAGUUGGAAAUAAGUGCUGUCAAAGGACUGUAUGAGUAUAGAUACAAUUCAAUUUCAAAUAUUCUCCAGUGAUCCACAAACUAUCGUAUUGCUUAUGGCUACUUCCUUCAGUAUUUACAGUUGGCUGAAAGUUUUUUGAGAGCUGUUUUUCUAUUGAAAACAGUGCUGAAUCAAAAACAAAACUGAGAAAGGGUGUCUUGAAAAAUUAUUUAUUUAAUGUGGGGAAAAAGGCAUAUGUCACACUUGCCUUUUGGGGAUUUUUAGAAACAAAAUUCCAGUUGAGAUAUUCAUUUCAAAAUUCUGAAAUUUAAGUUUGUUAUACUAAAGAAAUAAAUUGUCUGAUUCAAACUUUGA